rnacentral:rRNA from 1 species
UAGAGUUUGAUCCUGGCUCAGAUUGAACGCUGGCGGAAUGCUUUACACAUGCAAGUCGAACGGCAGCACGGGAGCUUGCUCCUGGUGGCGAGUGGCGAACGGGUGAGUAAUGUAUCGGAACGUACCCCGUCGUGGGGGAUAACUCUCCGAAAGGAGAGCUAAUACCGCAUACGACCCGAGGGUGAAAGCGGGGGACCUGGGGUAACCUGGGCCUCGCGCGAUGGGAGCGGCCGAUAUCGGAUUAGCUAGUUGGUGGGGUAAAGGCCUACCAAGGCGACGAUCCGUAGCGGGUCUGAGAGGACGACCCGCCACACUGGAACUGAGACACGGUCCAGACUCCUACGGGAGGCAGCAGUGGGGAAUUUUGGACAAUGGGCGCAAGCCUGAUCCAGCCAUUCCGCGUGAGUGAAGAAGGCCUUCGGGUUGUAAAGCUCUUUCAGCAGGAACGAAACGGUGGGUCUUAAUACGGCCUGCUAAUGACGGUACCUGCAGAAGAAGCACCGGCUAACUACGUGCCAGCAGCCGCGGUAAUACGUAGGGUGCGAGCGUUAAUCGGAAUUACUGGGCGUAAAGCGUGCGCAGGCGGCGACAUAAGACAGAUGUGAAAUCCCCGGGCUCAACCUGGGAACGGCGUUUGUGACUGUGUGGCUAGAGUGUAGCAGAGGGGGUGGAAUUCCACGUGUAGCAGUGAAAUGCGUAGAGAUGUGGAGGAACACCGAUGGCGAAGGCAGCCCCCUGGGUUAACACUGACGCUCAUGCACGAAAGCGUGGGGAGCAAACAGGAUUAGAUACCCUGGUAGUCCACGCCCUAAACGAUGCCAACUAGGUGUUGGGGGAGGAGACUUCCUUAGUACCGUAGCUAACGCGUGAAGUUGGCCGCCUGGGGAGUACGGUCGCAAGAUUAAAACUCAAAGGAAUUGACGGGGACCCGCACAAGCGGUGGAUGAUGUGGGUUAAUUCGAUGCAACGCGAAAAACCUUACCUACCCUUGACAUGUCCGGAAUCCCGAAGAGAUUUGGGAGUGCUCGAAAGAGAGCCGGAACACAGGUGCUGCAUGGCUGUCGUCAGCUCGUGUCGUGAGAUGUUGGGUUAAGUCCCGCAACGAGCGCAACCCUUAUCAUUAGUUGCCAUCAUUGAGUUGGGCACUCUAAUGAGACUGCCGGUGACAAACCGGAGGAAGGUGGGGAUGACGUCAAGUCCUCAUGGCCCUUAUGGGUAGGGCUUCACACGUCAUACAAUGGUCGGUACAGAGGGUUGCCAACCCGCGAGGGGGAGCUAAUCUCACAAAGCCGAUCGUAGUCCGGAUCGCAGUCUGCAACUCGACUGCGUGAAGUCGGAAUCGCUAGUAAUCGUGGAUCAGCAUGUCACGGUGAAUACGUUCCCGGGUC